UAGGGAAUUUUCGUCAAUGGGGGCAACCCUGAACGAGCAAUGCCGCGUGAGCGAAGAAGGUCUUCGGAUUGUAAAGCUCUGUUGCCGGGGAAAAAGGAAGGUACCUGACUAAGAAGCCCCGGCUAACUACGUGCC
rnacentral:rRNA from 1 species